rnacentral:lncRNA from 1 species
CAAAAUUCUUGGACAUGUUUGACCAUUUAAUACCAGAUAGAUAUAUAGUUCUUUGAGAAAAUAUGAGCCCUUUUGUACAAACAAAUAUAUUAAUAACUUAUAUUGAUCCCUCAUAAAACAUGUAAAAGGGAUAUUUAUAACAUUAAGGGGUUGUCCCCAAACUGAUUAUGACUUGGAUGGAGAACUGUCUCAUUGUCAGUCACACAUACAUAGACCAGAUUUAAUUAUUUCUUGGUGAACAGGGAAAAAAUACUUCAGAAAUUAAAGAAAUGUCAAAGUACAAGUGAUAAAUCAAGCUUUAAUAUUGUCAAAACCUACUAUUUUAUGUUUACAAAAAAAAAAUUAUAAUCGCUCGCCUUUACUUUUCAAGCUUCGCCUCAAAAAUUUGCAAAUUAAAUAUUUUUUUAUUAAAAUUUUCAAAUCGCUCGCUCGCCCCAAAUUUUGGAGUCCAAAAAUCCGUAGAACAAGAAAUUAAAUUGGUGUGGCCUAAAGUCAGUAUCAAA